CCUACGGGAGGCAGCAGUGGGGAAUAUUGCACAAUGGGGGAAACCCUGAUGCAGCGACGCCGCGUGAGUGAAGAAGUAUUUCGGUAUGUAAAGCUCUAUCAGCAGGGAAGAAAAUGACGGUACCUGACUAAGAAGCCCCGGCUAACUACGUGCCAGCAGCCGCGGUAAUACGUAGGGGGCAAGCGUUAUCCGGAUUUACUGGGUGUAAAGGGAGCGUAGACGGCCAGACAAGUCAGAAGUGAAAGCCCGGGGCUCAACCCUGGGACUGCUUUUGAAACUGCCGGGCUGGGGUGCAGGAGAGGUAGGCGGAAUUCCUAGUGUAGCGGUGAAAUGCGUAGAUAUAGGAGGAACACCAGUGGCGAAGGCGGCUUACUGGACUGUAACUGACGUUGAGGCUCGAAAGCGUGGGGAGCAAACAGGAUUAGAUACCCCAGUAGUC
rnacentral:rRNA from 1 species